GACGAACGCUGGCGGCGUGCUUAACACAUGCAAGUCGAACGGAAAGGCCCUGCUUUUGUUGGGUGCUCGAGUGGCGAACGGGUGAGUAACACGUGAGUAACCUGCCCUUGACUUUGGGAUAACUUCAGGAAACUGGGGCUAAUACCGGAUAUGAUCUCCUGCUGCAUGGUGGGGGUUGGAAAGUUUCGGCGUUUGGGGAUGGACUCGCGGCUUAUCAGCUUGUUGGUGAGGUAGUGGCUUACCAAGGCUUUGACGGGUAGCCGGCCUGAGAGGGUGGCCGGCCACAUUGGGACUGAGAUACGGCCCAGACUCCUACGGGAGGCAGCAGUGGGGAAUAUUGCACAAUGGGCGGAAGCCUGAUGCAGCAACGCCGCGUGCGGGAUGACGGCCUUCGGGUUGUAAACCGAUUUCGCCUGUGACGAAGCGUGAGUGACGGUAAUGGGUAAAGAAGCAACGGCUAACUACGUG
rnacentral:rRNA from 1 species